AUUGAACGCUAGCGGGAUGCUUUACACAUGCAAGUCGAACGGCAGCGCGGACUUCGGUCUGGCGGCGAGUGGCGAACGGGUGAGUAAUGUAUCGGAACGUGCCCAGUAGCGGGGGAUACCUCCGCGAAAGCGUAGCUAAUACCGCAUACGCUCUACGGGGGAAAGCAGGGGACCGUAAGACCUUGCACUAUUGGAGCGGCCGAUAUCUGAUUAGCUAGUUGGUGUGGUUACGGCUCACCAAGGCGACGAUCCGUAGCUGGUUGGAGAUGACGACCAGCCACACUGGGAGUGAGACAACGCCCAGACUCCUGCGGGAGUGAGCAGUGGGGAAUUUUGGAUAAAGGGGGCAGACCUGAUCCAGGCCUUCCGAGUGUGGGAUGAAGGCCCUCCGGUGGUAAAGGACUUUUGGCAGGAAAGAAACUGGGCGGGCUAGUAUCCCGCGGAACUCACGGUACCUGCAGAAUAAGCAGGCGCUGAUUUGGUG
rnacentral:rRNA from 1 species